GCAUUAAGUUCGAUCAUUAUAAACUCAUAUUUAUGCAGCUAUAAGAGAGGGAACUUAUCCACCGACGAUUGCAUUUGAGAGCUACUAAAACACAUCCUAGUAGACCUUGUCCCCAGAUAUGCCUCUUCAGCUCGCCUCAGAUACGAUAUUAAGAAUGUUUAGGGCUCGGAUCCAUCAUCAUCGUCAAGGACAAAUCAUGCACAAUUUAUCCCAUGCUAUUGAUGUGGACACACGGCUAGCAAGAAUGGAGGAAAGAUCACGACACGUACAGAUAAAUGAUGAUAGCCUAUGUGAUUCUUGCCAUGCUCGCCUUGGAACUAAAUUGUUUGCUAUGUACCCAGAUGAUACUGUCGUCUGUUACAAGUGUUUCCGUCGUCAGGUUGAGUCCACUUCUGUUACUGGCCAUGACUUCAGGCGAGAUAUCUUAUUCAAACCAGGUUGGCUCGUGACCAGAUAGGCCAUAGAUACUCAUGGAAGUUGAGAUUAUAACAUGUAUCCAUGCCACUUCCUGCAAUCCUGUCCGCGCAGUAACUAUUGAUGUUCAUCUUCUACUCCAACUGAGAAUGAGCAUGUCUUGAAUGUAAUUGUCGUGCAGUUUUGGUUUAGGCUUGUUUCUCAACCAGGUGAGUGUGUGUAAUAUUUUCUGAUUAUGCCAGUGACAGGUAGAGCCAUUUUAAGAUUUUACAAGAAAUUUUCCUAAUAAUUAUAUCUGAUAUGUAAAAAU